rnacentral:pre_miRNA from 1 species
GGGGGGAGGCCGGAUCCUGGGCUGUGUCCCCGGCCCUCUGUGCUCCCGGGGCCUGUGCUGUUGGAUUCGCACUCCUGGCCGCCCAGCCCCCU